GUAGCUUGGACCGUGGCGACUAUGGUGACUACUACCACCAUAGCCGGAGGAGCAGCGAGAGGAACCGCAACUAUGACAGUGAUGGGAGCAGGUGCCGGCGACACAGGUCCAGGACUAGGAGCCCCGUCAGGGAGGGCAGCGAGGAGAGGAGGGCGAAGAUUGAGCAGUGGAACCGUGAAAGGGAGGCGCCUGCCAGGCAGGGCAGCGAAGAGAGGAGGGCGAAGAUCGAUCAGUGGAACCGUGAGAGGGAGACUGCUCAGGCGUGAGAUCUCCUGUCUGACUGCAGGUUGAAGUGUUGCCUUGUUCACCGGAUGUUCUGCUUGCUUGUCUGAUCGUGUAAUGGUAGAUGGAGUUAGAAUUUGGUCCUAGUGAACUUGCUUGGAUGCCUGAUGUAACAUCUUCAGUGUUGUUCUUGUUGAACUUCCUCUAUGGAUUUGUUGAUGGAACAUAUUUGGUGUUGGACUUGUUAUUGUUAUGAUUAUUAUAGUGUGUUCCCU
rnacentral:rRNA from 1 species